AAUGAACGUUGGCGGCGUGGAUUAGGCAUGCAAGUCGAGCGAGAACCGUAGCAAUACGGGGACAGCGGCGAAAGGGAGAGGAACACGCGGAUACGUACCCUCGGGUUCAGGAUAGCCAUGGGAAACUAUGGGUCAUACUGACUAACAUCUUCGGAUCAAAGGUGUGAUUCCGCCCGGGGAGCGGUCCGCGUCCUAUUAGCUAGUUGGUGGGGUAACGGCCGACCAAGGCGAAGAUGGGUACGGGAUGUGAGAGCAUAAUCCCGCUCAUUGGGACUGAGACACUGCCCAGACACCUACGGGUGGCUGCAGUCGAGAAUCUUCGGCAAUGGGGGAAACCCUGACCGAGCGACGCCGCGUGCGAGAUGAAGGCCUUCGGGUUGUAAAUCGCUGUCGUAGGGGAGGAAAUGCCGGUGGGUUCUCCCAUCGGUUUGACCUAUCCUAGGAGGAAGGACGGGCUAAGUUCGUGCCAGCCGCCGCGGUAAAAC
rnacentral:rRNA from 1 species